rnacentral:rRNA from 1 species
AUUGAACGCUGGCGGCAGGCCUAACACAUGCAAGUCGAGCGGAUGAAGGGAGCUUGCUCCUGGAUUCAGCGGCGGACGGGUGAGUAAUGCCUAGGAAUCUGCCUGGUAGUGGGGGAUAACGUCCGGAAACGGGCGCUAAUACCGCAUACGUCCUGAGGGAGAAAGUGGGGGAUCUUCGGACCUCACGCUAUCAGAUGAGCCUAGGUCGGAUUAGCUAGUUGGUGGGGUAAAGGCCUACCAAGGCGACGAUCCGUAACUGGUCUGAGAGGAUGAUCAGUCACAGGGGACGUGAGACAGGGUCCAGCCCCCUGGGGGGGGCGGCAGGGGGAAUUUGGGAAAAAGGGGCGAAAGCGUGACCCAGCGAGGCGGUGGGUGUAAGGAGGGUCUUCGAUUUGUAAGGAUUUUUAGGUGGGGAGAAAGGGCAGAAAGUAAAUCCCUUGUUUUUGGGACUUACCCAAAAAAAAAAGCCCCGCCAAACUUCGU